UUAAUUGAAGCCAAAACGGAGGCCUUUCACUGUUAAUGAAAAAAGUGAUUCAUUUCAGAAUCCAAUUAAA
rnacentral:tRNA from 1 species